CUGAAUAGUUUCUUUGUCUUGACGGAAAGUAAAAAGAACAAACUUGUUUUAAACAAAAUCAGAUGCUCCAAAUGGUCAGUUGAUAAUGCUACCAAUCAAAGAAAACUAAAGAGGAAGAAAAAGAAAAGAGGAAAGAGAGGAGGCAACAGGAAAAUCGGCCUUCUUCCUUCAGUCUAUGGUGAGGAUCUGAAGCUCAGAGGAAUGAUGUUAGCUGCUCAAGGCCACAUAGAUGGCAAGCUGGACAGAUGGUCACUUUGGGAAAAUAAGUAGUAGUAUACUGUGUGUACUAUCACAAGGCUCCCGGUUGAUAAAUUGGCCCUUUGUGUUCCUAAAGGCCACCUCACUGGCCUAAAACACUUCACAGGACUUCUGCAGAGGUCUAACCACACUUGAAGAGACAGGAUAAGACCUGGAAGCAUCAGAUGUAUAUUAGCUGAAACAAUUACAGAAAUCAAGCACUUUCUGGGGUAAAAUUAAUUAAACGAUUGAUUGAUUGAU